rnacentral:rRNA from 1 species
GAUGAACGCUAGCGGCAGGCCUAAUACAUGCAAGUCGGACGGGAUAGAAGAGCUUGCUUUUCUUGAGAGUGGCGCACGGGUGCGUAACACGUAUGUAACCUACCUUGAUCAGGGGGAUAGCCUCUCGAAAGAGAGAUUAAGACCGCAUAACAUUAAGUUGUGGCAUCGCAAUUUAAUCAAAUAUUUAUAGGAUCAAGAUGGGCAUGCGGAACAUUAGCUAGUUGGUAAGGUAACGGCUUACCAAGGCUACGAUGUUUAGGGGAUCUGAGAGGAUGACCCCCCACACUGGUACUGAGACACGGACCAGACUCCUACGGGAGGCAGCAGUAAGGAAUAUUGGUCAAUGGACGGAAGUCUGAACCAGCCAUGCCGCGUGCAGGAAGACGGCCCUACGGGUUGUAAACUGCUUUUGUACCGGAAUAAACCUUGAUUCGUGAAUCAAGCUGAAUGUACGGUAAGAAUAAGGAUCGGCUAACUCCGUGCCAGCAGCCGCGGUAAUACGGAGGAUCCAAGCGUUAUCCGGAUUUAUUGGGUUUAAAGGGUGCGUAGGCGGCUUUUUAAGUCAGGGGUGAAAGACGGUAGCUCAACUAUCGCAGUGCCCUUGAUACUGAAGAGCUUGAAUGUACUUGAGGUAGGCGGAAUGUGACAAGUAGCGGUGAAAUGCAUAGAUAUGUCACAGAACACCAAUUGCGAAGGCAGCUUACUAAAGUAUGAUUGACGCUGAGGCACGAAAGCGUGGGGAUCAAACAGGAUUAGAUACCCUGGUAGUCCACGCCCUAAACGAUGAACACUCGAUGUUGGCGAUAUACGGUCAGCGUCUAAGCGAAAGCGUUAAGUGUUCCACCUGGGGAGUACGCCCGCAAGGGUGAAACUCAAAGGAAUUGACGGGGGCCCGCACAAGCGGAGGAGCAUGUGGUUUAAUUCGAUGAUACGCGAGGAACCUUACCCGGGCUUGAAAGUUAGUGAAUAGAGCAGAGACGCUCUAGUUCUUCGGAACACGAAACUAGGUGCUGCAUGGCUGUCGUCAGCUCGUGCCGUGAGGUGUUGGGUUAAGUCCCGCAACGAGCGCAACCCCUAUGUUUAGUUGCCAGCAUUUAAGG